UGGGGAAUCUUGCACAAUGGGCGCAAGCCUGAUGCAGCGACGCCGCGUGAGGGAUGAAGGCCCUCGGGUUGUAAACCUCUUUCAGCAGGGACGAAGCGAAAGUGACGGUACCUGCAGAAGAAGCCCCGGCCAACUACGUGCCAGCAGCCGCGGUAAUACGUAGGGGGCGAGCGUUGUCCGGAUUUAUUGGGCGUAAAGAGCGCGUAGGCGGCCAUUCAAGUCGAUUGUGAAAGCUCGGGGCUCAACCCCGAGAUUGCGUUCGAUACUGGAUGGCUAGAGGCUGGUAGGGGGGUGUGGAAUUCCCGGUGUAGCGGUGGAAUGCGCAGAUAUCGGGAGGAACACCGGUGGCGAAGGCGGCACCCUGGGCCAGUCCUGACGCUGAGGCGCGAAAGCGUGGGGAGCAAACAG
rnacentral:rRNA from 1 species